AUUGAACGCUGGCGGCAUGCUUUACACAUGCAAGUCGAACGGUAACAGGGAGCUUGCUCCGCUGACGAGUGGCGAACGGGUGAGUAAUAUAUCGGAACGUACCCAAGAGUGGGGGAUAACGUAGCGAAAGUUACGCUAAUAACGCAUACGAGCCAAGGAUGAAAGCAGGGGACCUUCGGGCCUUGUGCCCCUGGAGCGGCCGAUAUCUGAUUAGCUAGUUGGUGAGGUAAAGGCUCACCAAGGCGACGAUCAGUAGCCGGUCUGAGAGGACGACCAGCCACACUGGAACUGAGACACGGUCCAGACUCCUACGGGAGGCAGCAGUGGGGAGUUUUGGACAAUGGGCGCAAGCCUGGUCCAGCAAUGCCGCGUGAGUGAAGAAGGCCUUCGGGUUGUAAAGCUCUUUUGUCAGGGAAGAAACGGGAGUGGCUAAUAUCCAAUCCUAAUGACGGUACCUGAAGAAUAAGCACCGGCUAACUACGUGCCAGCAGCCGCCGCGGUAA
rnacentral:rRNA from 1 species